rnacentral:tRNA from 1 species
UAGAUUGAAGCCAGUUGUUAAGGUAUUUAGCUGUUAACUAAAAUUUCGUGGGAUGGAAGCCCACCAAUCUAG